GACGAACGCUGGCGGCGUGCCUAAUACAUGCAAGUAGAACGCUGAAGGAGGAGCUUGCUUCUCUGGAUGAGUUGCGAACGGGUGAGUAACGCGUAGGUAACCUGCCUGGUAGCGGGGGAUAACUAUUGGAAACGAUAGCUAAUACCGCAUAAGAGUAGAUGUUGUAUGACAUUUGCUUAAAAGGUGCAAUUGCAUCACUACCAGAUGGACCUGCGUUGUAUUAGCUAGUUGGUGGGGUAACGGCUCACCAAGGCGACGAUACAUAGCCGACCUGAGAGGGUGAUCGGCCACACUGGGACUGAGACACGGCCCAGACUCCUACGGGAGGCAGCAGUAGGGAAUCUUCGGCAAUGGACGGAAGUCUGACCGAGCAACGCCGCGUGAGUGAAGAAGGUUUUCGGAUCGUAAAGCUCUGUUGUAAGAGAAGAACGAGUGUGAGAGUGGAAAGUUCACACUGUGACGGUAUCUUACCAGAAAGGGACGGCUAACUACGUG
rnacentral:rRNA from 1 species